CCAUUUCUGUUCUGUUUCAUGUUUCCUCUUCAACAUCUGGAACCGUUCUGACAAAACGGAAUAUCAAGGCCUACACUGUUCUUCAUUGGGGUGCCAAAUAUGGGAACGCAGACAUCAUAAAAAUCUUUGCCGGGAAGUACAAGGUUGAUGUAAAUGGAAAAACGGUAAGUUGUACAAUUAUAAUUGAUAAUAUUUUCUCAAAUUGUAAACUAAGUCAUUUAAUUACAAUCCAGUAUUGGCCCAAAGUCUUUCUUAUCUUUCAUUAGCAAACAUGUUUGAACUAUCUAAAAAACAAGUAUUAAAUUCCCGUAUCUAAAUUCAAAAAGAUUAUUGAAAUGACAUUUCAUUUUAAAAAAUGUAGCUUUCUAGCAGCAUACCAAGUACCGUAUGAUGGACUCACAGAUGGAACAGAAACAAUUUAAGGUUCUGGUGUAGGUGUUUUAGUGGCAGACCCAGGACAGAGAUAUCUACCUGCCUAGGAACAUAUGCGACUGUAUUUCAAGCGGAAAUAUAUGCUACUGAACUGUGUGCGGAAAGAUGGGAAGAAUUUAAUCUCAUACACAAGUCAAUAAAAA